rnacentral:lncRNA from 1 species
GGACAAGAUCUUUAGCUGCUGUUGCAAGGGACAGAUAGUUUUUGGGUUUUUUUUUUUGUCCAGUUAUGUCUGUUUGCUAGUGGUUCAGAUUUUCUUUACUGUUUUGUAUCUAACCUGUUUGAUGGAAUAGAUUCAUUUGGUGUGCGGCAGGAGUGAAUAAAUGGAAACUGAAAUCAAUGAAUGACUCCUUAUGAUGAGGGGUUAUCUAUACAUGGUAGGAAAAACACAACAAGUGCAAUAUGAUCUGAGGAACUGCCAGACUGUGGAGACAGAAGUGUGGACAGAUUUUGAGCUCCUGAAUUAUAACUGUGGCUUUGGUGAGUCCUCAGUGGCAAGCUGCUUCAGUUUUCUUCGUUUUAUUACCCUUGUUUGUGGAAUUACAGGCAUUAAAGUGUUAAUGGAUGCAAAGUGCUUAAGAAAUUGAAAGAGCUGCCUAAGUGCUGCUGCUAUUACUGUUAUAGUGGCGACUCCAGACUAAAGGGAGUAAACUCUUCCCUUGCUGUGCUGUAGCCAGUAGAUAAAAUUAAAUGCAGACCUAUCACCUUCCCCAGUGCUGGAGUUAGGGGUUAGUCAUCGUUUACCCUCAGGUUUCCAGAGCAAUUUUUUGUUGUCACGCUUCUAAAGGGAAUAACUUUAUGAGGCAGAGUACUUCAGUAGGCUUCUGAAAAUAGACGUGUGCAGGUGGCAGGGUAUUUGGGUG